GCGUAACGCGUAUGCAAUCUACCUUGUACAGAGGGAUAGCCCAGAGAAAUUUGGAUUAAUACCUCAUAGUAUUAUCGAGUGGCAUCAUUUGAUAAUUAAAGUUCCAACGGUACAAGAUGAGCAUGCGUCCCAUUAGUUAGUUGGUAAGGUAACGGCUUACCAAGACUAUGAUGGGUAGGGGUCCUGAGAGGGAGAUCCCCCACACUGGUACUGAGACACGGACCAG
rnacentral:rRNA from 1 species